rnacentral:rRNA from 1 species
GGCGAACGGGUGCGUAAUGCAUGGGAAUCUGCCUAGUAGUGGGGAAUAACCCGGCGAAAGCCGGGCUAAUGCCGCAUACGACCUACGGGUGAAAGCGGGGGAUCGCAAGACCUCGCGCUAUUAGAUGAGCCCAUGUCGGAUUAGCUAGUUGGUAGGGUAACGGCCUACCAAGGCGACGAUCCGUAGCUGGUCUGAGAGGACGGCCAGCCACACUGGGACUGAGACACGGCCCAGACUCCUAC